GCUCAACCGGGGAGGGUCAUUGGAAACUGGGAAACUUGAGUGCAGAAGAGGAGAGUGGAAUUCCACGUGUAGCGGUGAAAUGCGUAGAGAUGUGGAGGAACACCAGUGGCGAAGGCGACUCUCUGGUCUGUAACUGACGCUGAGGAGCGAAAGCGUGGGGAGCGAACAGGAUUAGAUACCCUGGUAGUCCACGCCGUAAACGAUGAGUGCUAAGUGUUAGGGGGUUUCCGCCCCUUAGUGCUGCAGCUAACGCAUUAAGCACUCCGCCUGGGGAGUACGGUCGCAAGACUGAAACUCAAAGGAAUUGACGGGGGCCCGCACAAGCGGUGGAGCAUGUGGUUUAAUUCGAAGCAACGCGAAGAACCUUACCAGGUCUUGACAUCCUCUGACAACCCUAGAGAUAGGGCUUUCCCUUCGGGGACAGAGUGACAGGUGGUGCAUGGUUGUCGUCAGCUCGUGUCGUGAGAUGUUGGGUUAAGUCCCGCAACGAGCGCAACCCUUGAUCUUAGUUGCCAGCAUUUAGUUGGGCACUCUAAGGUGACUGCCGGUGACAAACCGGAGGAAGGUGGGGAUGACGUCAAAUCAUCAUGCCCCUUAUGACCUGGGCUACACACGUGCUACAUGGACAGAACAAAG
rnacentral:rRNA from 1 species